rnacentral:rRNA from 1 species
UCCUUUUGUAGAUAAUCUAAGGUCUAGCCUGCCCACUGAAGUUUUAAAUGGCCGUGGUAUUUUGACCGUGCUAAGGUAGCAUAAUCAUUAGUUUUUUAAUUAAAAACUGGAAUGAAAGGUUGGAUGAGAAAAUAGCUGUCUCUAUUAAAUUUAAUUAGAAUUUUAUUUUUAAGUUAAAAAGCUUAGUUAUUGUUAAAAGACGAGAAGACCCUAUAGAGUUUAAUUAUUUAGUAAAAAUUAUAUUUUAGUAUUAAUUUAUUUAUUUUAUUAAAUAAUUUAAUUGGGGUGAUUGAAAAAUUUAAUUAACUUUUUUUUAUUUAAUAACAUUAAUUUAUGAAUAAAUGAUCCAAUAUUUUUGAUUAUAAGAUAAAAUUACCUUAGGGAUAACAGCGUAAUUUUUUUAGAAAGUUCAUAUUAAAAAAAAAGAUUGCGACCUCGAUGUUGGAUUAAAAUAAAUUUUUGGUGUAGAAGCUAAAAUAUUAGGUCUGUUCGACCUUUAAAAUUUUACAUGAU